rnacentral:rRNA from 1 species
UACGUAGGGGGCUAGCGUUGUCCGGAAUCAUUGGGCGUAAAGCGCGUGUAGGCGGUUCGGUAAGUCCGCUGUGAAAGUCGGGGGCUCAACCCUCGGAUGCCGGUGGAUACUGUCGGACUAGAGUACGGAAGAGGCGAGUGGAAUUCCGUGGUGUAGCGGUGAAAUGCGCAGAUAUCAGGAGGAACACCGAUUGCGAAGGCAGCUCGCUGGGACGUUACUGACGCUGAGACGCGAAAGCGUGGGGAGCAAACAGG